rnacentral:rRNA from 1 species
AUUGAACGCUGGCGGCAGGCCUAACACAUGCAAGUCGAGCGGAUGAAGGGAGCUUGCUCCUGGAUUCAGCGGCGGACGGGUGAGUAAUGCCUAGGAAUCUGCCUGGUAGUGGGGGAUAACGUCCGGACACGGGCGCUAAUACCGCAUACGUCCUGAUGGAGAACGUGGUGGAUCUUUGGACCUCACGCUAUUUGAUGAUCCUAGGUCGGAUUAGCUAGUUGGUGGGGUAAAGGCCUACCAAGGCGACGAUCCGUAACUGGUCUGAGAGGAUGAUCAGUCACACUGGAACUGAGACACGGUCCAGACUCCUACGGGAGGCAGCAGUGGGGAAUAUUGGACAAUGGGCGAAAGCCUGAUCCAGCCAUGCCGCGUGUGUGAAGAAGGUCUUCGGAUUGUAAAGCACUUUAAGUAGGGAGGAAGAGAAGUAAGUUAAUACCUUGCUGUUUUGACGGUACCAACAGAAUAAGCACCGGCUAACUUCGUG